AUUGAACGCUGGCGGCAGGCCUAACACAUGCAAGUCGAGCGAGCGGCGGACGGGUGAGUAAUGCCUAGGAAUCUGCCUGAUGGUGGGGGAUAACUACUGGAAACGUUAGCUAAUACCGCAUCCCAUCAGAUGUGCCCAGAUGGUAUUAGCUAGUAGGUGGGGUAACGGCUCACCUAGGCGACGAUCCCUAGCUGGUCUGAGAGGAUGACCAGCCACACUGGAACUGAGACACGGUCCAGACGCCUACGGGAGGCAGCAGUGGGGAAUAUGGCACAAUGGGCGCAAGCCUGAGUCAGCCAUGCCGCGUGUGGGAAGAAGGCCUUCGGGUUGUAAAGUACUUUCAGCGGGGAGGCGUUACCCGCAGAAGAAGCAACGGCUAACUCCGUGCCAGCCGCCGCGGUAAUUC
rnacentral:rRNA from 1 species